rnacentral:rRNA from 1 species
GACGAACGCUGGCGGCGUGCCUAAUACAUGCAAGUAGAACGCACAGUUUAUACCGUAGCUUGCUACACCAUAGACUGUGAGUUGCGAACGGGUGAGUAACGCGUAGGUAACCUGCCUGGUAGCGGGGGAUAACUAUUGGAAACGAUAGCUAAUACCGCAUAAUAUUGAUUAUUGCACGAUAAUUGAUUGAAAGAUGCUAUUGCAUCACUACCAGAUGGACCUGCGUUGUAUUAGCUAGUAGGUGAGGUAACGGCUCACCUAGGCGACGAUACAUAGCCGACCUGAGAGGGUGAUCGGCCACACUGGGACUGAGACACGGCCCAGACUCCUACGGGAGGCAGCAGUAGGGAAUCUUCGGCAAUGGACGAAAGUCUGACCGAGCAACGCCGCGGGAGUGAAGAAGGUUUUCGGAUCGUAAAGCUCUGUUGUAAGAGAAGAACGGGUGUGAGAGUGGAAAGUUCACACUGUGACGGUAUCUUACCAGAAAGGGACGGCUAACUACGUG